GGGAACCUGAGAGGAGAAACACAAAAAUAAAUCUUUAUGAUGAAGGAAAAUAGAGAGAUAGAUUUCUAAGAGAGUGGAAACUCUGUAAAUGAACUGACUCAUUUGUGACGCAACGUACCUCAGCAUGUUAUCCACAACUUCAUGGUAGAUGAGCUGGUACUCCUCGACUGAGCGGUUGUGGAUCCUAAUAGGGUCUUCGAGGUGCAGGGGAGCAUUGGAGGUCCGGGGGCUGGAGGCCACAUUAGAGACAGGUGGCAGGUCAGCAGGUUUAGGAGGAAGAGCCGCGGAGGUCUGCUUCCUUUUCUGGGGAAGGUCUGCAGAAGCAGCAGGGCGCCGGCGCUUUGUAUGUGGCACCUGGAGAAGGUCAGCAAAACACGAGAGGAUGUCAGACUCUAGUAAACUUCUUACUUAACAACAUACUUUUAUCAUUUUACAAGAGGAAACAUCUACAUCAGAUGCAGAGGAUUACUUGAAAUGAACAGAGUUGAGGAUCAGAUGUCUCACCUGGUCGUCCCUGCAGCAGGGACACUGUCUGCAGACUGCAGGCCUCCUCUGGCGGGCAGAGACUCUCCUUCCUGUCUGGUUGUCCUGCGGGAGGACGGGCACUCGACCCUGCAACAACACACACUCAUGUUAGGAUGAGGCUCUACAAGUACAUGCAGGAUGGACCUUUUUCAAGGCAGGGCUCUUCCUGGGUGUAUGGCCUUCCUGAAGUGGGACAGGAGACAACAAGAACAACACAACCAGUGUGAUCCACAGCGGUCAACACCUAGCACCCCAUUAUAUACACGUGAUUGCUUUGAUAUUGAAUUCAAUGAAAACACCUCUAUUAAAUAAUCCUGUGUUCUGUGA